GGACAGUGGUAGACUCCUGAGGAGUCUGAAGAGAAAGGCACAGGCCUCUCCCUCCUUUCACCCAUGCACUCAAUGACUUGGAUUUCUUUGUAACUUAAGCCGGUGGGACACAACCAUGUGUCUUGGUCUUGGGGCUCACACUGGUUGCUUUUUUUUUUUUUUUUUUUUUUUUUUUAAACCCUCUCUGCCCAAGAAAAUUCUGAAUUGGUUUACUAAACUGUCCUGACUCUUGUGCUGAAGUCUGAGUUUGUAAGCCCACAUCUUUGAAAAGGGGUGUCUUUAAAGAACCUUCUCCACAGUUUCCACAUCAGCUAUUCAAAGAGGAAGGAGUAUCAACAGAGUGCCAUGUCAGUCAUAUCAAAACAAAGAGAAGCAAAAGAGGGCCCCACGCCAACCAGUUGCUUUUGCAGUUGGUUCAACAACUGGAUGUUAAAUAGAAAGUGAAGUUAAAAAUGGUUGUCAGACUGGAUGAUCAAGAUGGGCCCUUCGAGUCCUGAAGCCUAUGGAGCUCUGAUCUAAAAUGACAUGAUCACACACCACUUUCCCCUCAGCGAUGCUGACUUCAGUGCACCAGGUAGAUCUGUACUGUGGCUGAAUUAGUUUGCUCUCUUUUGGAUAACUGUUCCAUUUGUUGGAGAAUUUGAGUUAUAUAUAGAGUGGGAAUGUUAAGCACUCCUUCCCCACCCUGUCCCCUCCCCCCCAAAAAAAGAAAAAAAGAAUCACUCUGGAGAAUUGUGUUCUAUCCUUGACUCUGCUACAUACUUUUUGCUUAAAAUAAAUUUGGGUGUCCACAUGUGAUUAUUCAUUUCUGAAGAUGUAAGUAGUUUAAAAAUUCAUUUAAAAGCAAAAAUAUGUGUUUUGUACACAAAUGAUGGCACAUAUUGAUAAAUUCUUUGUACAUUUUUAAAAGACUCUUUAUCCAAAUUUGCACAGAAUUUUGAAUUCAUGCAUCUGGGGAUAAGAGUACCAGCUCACUACAGUGGUACAAAGAUUGGUAAAGAGCUACAAAAACCAUACAAAUAAAAGAACUACACAAGAAAGUAAGUAAUUGUGUUUUCAGAACAGAGACCAACUGAUGUGCAGUAAAUAAGACAGUACUACACAUUCUUUCAUGAAGACAAAGCAAAAUAGGAAAUAGCUGUUCAUAACUCAACUGCAUUAGAUGAAAAAUCCUCCUAUAGAAAGUAAAUUAAGUAUAUAAGAACAGUUAAAAGCAUAUGAAAAUGGUCUUAUUGAUUUCCAUAUCUAUUCUAUUAAUGUACAAAUCCAGAUAAUGUCUUGUUUUCAGCUCAUUUAAAAUGUUACCUGAGUGCAGAUGAAUUAUAGCAGAUGGACAUCUCCACUGAUCAUUCAAAUGCCAGAGAGCUCUCUACACUCUGCUUUAAAAUCCAUACUAGCUAAUUAUAACCAGAAUAAAUCAAAAAGAAUGUCUACUGCACAAAGUAACUUGAAGCACUUUAGUAUCAAGAUGAUUUUUUUGUCUGAAAAUCAUCUCUCUUGAUUUAUCAUCUGAAGAAUGCUUAUCAAAAGGCCUGUUAGAAAACAUACCUAUAAUUUUAGUUAUAGAGCUUCUCUCUCACUCUGAGCAUUUCCCUUGAUAGCUGAACAGUGUUUUUGAAACACUGUAGUGUUAUGUCAGACCCCUUGCCUCACAUAAAUAUGAAGCAAUCCAAAGGAAAUGACUGCGGUCAUAUAGCACAUGGUCCCACAUUGAGAUCCUGAAUCAGACAUAUUACUUUUAAUACUUUUGAAUCAGAUAUGUUACAAAUAAAUAAGUGGGAAAACUACAUCCUGUAGAAUAAACUCUUAAAAUGGAAGAGUUGGGGAUACCUGCGGGGUAGUUUAGCCUUUUAGACUUUUAAACCUGCUUUGUAGAGAGAAUCUCUUUUGACUAUAAAUUCAGGUCAUGGUGUUAUCAAAGGUGGUAGAAGACUAGACAGAAGCAUCCUGUAAUCUCUUCAGAAAAUAUUUGAAAAAGGCUUACAUAUACCCCCAGCAGAAAUAUAUUUUCCUGUCCCUCUAUCAGAUUUAUGUAUUCUAGAACAAACAUUAAAGGAUUGUUCUUUGGGGACGACAGUCACUUGUAUCAGUGGCUUAACAGUCAUUGUAAUAAAGGAAUAAAAUGUUUUGUUCAGCUGGCAGGCCUAUAUUCUCUGUGAUAAAUGUGGGAUCUUCUGCAGUGGUGGGAAGGAUUUGAUUCUUACACUGAAAGAAUGCUGCUGAAAAUCCAUAGCUGUGUUUUUUUUACACUGCAGGAGUCACCAAACAAGGAUUUUGGAAGAUGCAUAUGAUUUACCAGUCUACUAUGCUAACAUCAUUUUGACAGGUGUGAUGCAUCAACACAGUAUUAUAAGCUUAAGAUAAAUUACAGCAUUCUUUUUCAUCAAGCAGCAAACUGCAGUGGAGUAUUGCACAAAGCUCAGUGUGUUCAGUCAGUAGGCAUUUGUGCCUGCAGCCUAAAAUAGAAUGUCUUUCUGUGAUGGGUUAAUCCCUCUUUGGCUCUGAUCCUGGGUAGAUUACUAGUUAUAGCAUGCCAUGAAAGACUGCUGUGUAAGGCAAGUAUUUCACUUAAGUCACUUACCACAUUCUCUGGACAACAGAAAUUUCUUGUGCAUCUGCUAGAAAUGUGGGGAUAAUUUAAUUGCCUUUGCUAAGAUUUCCAAUGUAAUUUAAUAAUCAUUUUUAUUAGAAUGUGCAUAUUGUUAGAAGUUAUCAGAACACUGUUACUCCUGGUGCAUUCUGAACAGCAGGUAGAAAAAUCAGACUUUGAUUUUGACUAGGGGUCCUAAUCAUUUCUUUUCAUAAUUUAGAGCACAAAAUGUGUUUGGUCAUUCUCUAUCACUUAUUAUUAUUAUUAUUAUUAUUAUUUUUAAUUCUGGUUGUCUAAACUGUAUGACAAGACCGCAUUCUACUUUACAUUUACCCAAAGGUCAAUAAAUAUCAGAACUUGGCAAAGAAACAAUGAAUAUUCUUCAAACAUUUCCCUGCAAGAAAAAUAGGCUCAUUUCAGCUGAGUGGAUGUCUCUAUUUGAAGGAUAUUUUUCACUGACAUUCAAUUAAUUGAAUUUUCCUGAAGUGGAUGUAUGUAGAAGCUAAGUGAUAAAUUUUAGGAAGUGUACACUUUUAUUUCCCUUAGUUUUAGUGCCAAGUAGGGCUGCAUUUAUAGUGCUUCAUUUUUAAGAUGGUCUAUACAGUGAUUUUUAUCAAAUGGUCCUAUUUGAAAUGUUCUAGCUUGGUAUCCAAAUCAUUAUCUUCAUUUGCAAGUCAGCAAAAUUCUGUGGAUUACAAACACUUAAGCUUUCAGAGCUUGACAUGUGGUCAGAGAAUGGAAAUGGCACUGUGCAAUGGCCAUAACUAGCCAAAUCUCCCAGAUAUUUUGUGGGAGCUUUAUGUAUGAAGAAAUGUUGAGAUGUUAGAAAAAUAGGACAUUAACCAAGAGUAAUGAAAAUGUCAGCAAAAAGUACUGAGUUAAAAUUAAUAAAGAUAGUUCUUGAAGAAAUUAAUUUGUAAACAUUUGUGAAGGGAAAGGAGAAAAGCUUGUGAGAGAAACUAAUACUUGAAAUAAAUAUGGGUAACUAUAAGGAGCAGGAAUUGUUUUUAUUUUUUUUUAUUCUAAUAUCAUUGCUAUAUUUUGUCUUUUUUUCCAUUCUAUUUCUAUUUAGAUUUUAGCUCAAAAUGGAGAUGGACUGAUCUAAAAUAUUCGUCAAAAAUGCUUAAACACGUUGAGAACCCAAAUAUACUUUUAAAUAUGGUCAAUGUGUGUCUUUUGUACAUAGAUCUGUGUUCAUAGUACUAGAAAACUGUUGAGGCCAAAUAGUAGAGAGCUUGGACCCUGACGGUAUGCAGUCUUGUUUACACAGAUUAGACUGAAUAGAAAGUCUAUGGCUGGCUGUGAAGACUGCAAGAUUUUCAGGCUGAACAGGCUCAUAUGGAAGCAGCUGAGGCUUUGUAUGAAAGUGGGAGAUACUCUGCAUGGGUGAUUAACUGUAGUGCAGUGAUCACUUUUCAGGCCAGCCUCGACUCCAUUUUAGACAUCAAAAAAAGGUUUAUAAAGCAAAGUAGUCUUCAAAAUUUUCUGUUAACAAUCAUUCUGAGGAAGAGAUUAAAAAAUGUCAAUGAAAUCAGAAAGUCAAGAGGUUUAUUUGGCAUAAUGGCUGAACAGGGAAGUUCUGUUUUUCAAGGAGGAUCAGGGAGUUCAAUGGUAGGUACAAGGCCACAGUACUAAAUGCUGACAUGGACUUUCCAAGGUUGCCCAGAGUAGUGCUAAAGUCAAUAAUUCCAUAUUGCACCUGUCAGAAGCUACAACAUAAUUGCUUUGAAGUGAGGCAUAUUAACAUCCAUGUGCUCAGCAAACUAAGCAAUUAUGAACAGGUCUCUGCUCUCCCUGUUGGCUGUUAUAAGUAUUUGUUCAAUUUGUUGCUUUGCCUCAAUUCUAGUUAAUGUGACUUAUGAGCACUUAGCACAUACUGGAAAGACAAGGGAGAGAUGUGGCUGCUGGUAGUCUGGCAGUAGUCCACAAACUGUGACCUUAUAGUGACAGGCAAAGAUGGGGCUGAUAGUCAGGAAGGAGUACAGGAUUGUAGGGCAGGAUGCUGCCAGUUGGCAUGGAAACACUAACAGUCAAAGCAUUAAGAUUUUAAAGAAACCAAACUUUUCUUUUCUUUUUUUUUUCCUAGAACAUGAUAGCAAAUGUUUUUGUAACAGUUGCAGAGACUGCUGAUUUUGCCUUUACAAGAUCAAACACACAGUACUACAGGAAUUUGAAAAAAAACAUAUAUCUCUCAAUAUAUUACAUGGGAAAUGAGGAAAAUUGUGUUCUUAUGAAAUUUGUUAUCACUGAGUUCGCCCAAUAUUAUGCAGGUGAUUACUUGAAUUUUCCAAGCAGCAGAUGUUCAGAAAUGGGGAGACAGAAGCUGGCCAAGAAAGCUGCCUCAGCAGCAGUGUGGGUUAUAAAUUCAGCAUGGACAAUCUGUUCUUCAAAGUAGAGCUAAAGUGAUUUAAAAGGUUCGUCAAGGUCACGUAGGAAUACUGUACAGGAGUGCUCCAAAGCACCAGCUGUCAGGACUGUCAAGUCUUGCUAAUGAACAGUGGAAUUUGUAGAAAAUAAUACUAAUGCUAAUUGAAACCUGAACAGCUUAGAAGUCUAGCAGGUUAUUGCUAUUGAUUCAUAUCCUAUGAUAAUGUCUCCUACAGAGCAUGCAGGAGUGCCUGUCUACCUGUAGUAUUAGCUAAUCCAUUGUUGAUGCCAUUCAUACAAGUAUCUGGAAGGUCUGAAGCCCUCUUCAGAGAGAGGGGUGUUCUAUUACUAUAGAAAUGAUGGAUCACUUUCUGAUUUUGUAAUAAAUUCUGAGCAGUAUCUUCACCUCAGAAAAGGAGAGGAAAGUGCCAAGAUAGCUUACAGUUCAUUAGGAUUUUUUCCAAGGGCUGGAGUGGGUCUGAAUAAUCUCAGUUAUAAUUUAAUUAAUCUAAUUAUCUUAGUUUCUGUUUUGGGGAAAGAGGUGGAGGCCUUUUUUAUAAAAAGGAUUAAUAAGGAACCAUUAAUAAGGAACCUAGCAGCAGUUGUGUCUUAGGUAUAUGUGCCAAGUCUGACCCUAGAGUUGAAAGAGAGAUAUGUAAAUUCUGGACCUUAAAAUGCUAAAUUGCCCUUAAAUUGCCAAUUAUGAUCACGUGUGUCUGCAUAGGAGAACAAAUCAGAACUCACCCUAGCUCUGGUCUCAUGGUCCAACUGCAGGCACACAGCACUGAGUUUAAUCAAACAAGCCUCACUUCUUCAUUCAGGAAUCUCUGAAGCUCCAUGGUAUGUAUUCCCUAUGUUCUUCUUUAAAUUCGGUUCCAUUUUAAAAUGAGAACUUACAUGGCACUAAGAAUAAUACCGAUAUCUAAGUAGACUGUCUCUCAAGGGUUACAUGACACAUGUAACAAGUAUGUUCAAUUUCAAUGCAGUUUGUAGACUUCGUUAAAGACAGCAACAUUAUCCCACAAACAGCAUCCAAAACAUUCAAAAAAAUUUUAUAGACCAACAGUGAGGGCCUUGAUAAUGAAGAAAUUUGGUCAGUUUUUUCUCUACAUUGACUUAUGAAAUUUCUUUAAUUGAGUUUUAUGACAUUCAUCUCAGAAAUUUAGUAAAUAAAAAUCACAGGUUGCAAAUGGUAUUUGUGUAGAUAUGUAAAAGAUCUACAGGAAGACCCUUUGAAUUUUGGGAAUGUGAGCCUAUUUCUACUACUCAAGUGGUACAGAUCCUGAGUGUCACUUAUUAAGUUAUUACUGCAAAACCACAGACUUCUCAUGUCACCAGUUGGACCUCCCUUUGCUUCUUGUCACUGCUUUUACUGUGCUGCCAGAACAAAUACAUUCAUUGAGUGGUAAGUUAUAAUUUUCCAGAUUUAUGCAGUGUUGGAAUAUUCCCCAUGGUAUCUUUCUGUGCACAUUUUGCAAUUCAGCUGCUUAAGGAAAAUUCUGGGAUUUGAAUUGCAAUUAUUUUUAAGUAACAAGUAAUUUAGUAUAAAAAUGGUCUGGUGAGUGUCACAGUUGUCUUUAUGGUCUUAAGUUUCAACUUCACACUGUGAAGACAGUAAGGUUUGUUCGUCAGCCAGAUCUUGAAGCUGAGAAUAGAGUUAAUUAACUGAGAUUGGCAGUAUAUGCUUUCCCUAUGUCAGGACAAAACUUUACCGGUGUUUUGAAAACAACCUUCCAGUUGUUUUUAUAUUAUUCUGACACUUUCUGGGAGUAUUUUUCAUAAACUGUUUUUACAAAUCACUGACAAAUAGGAUCGUAGAAUCAUAGAACAGUUUGGGUUGGAAGGAACUUUAAAGACCAUGGAGCUCCAACCGCCUGCUGUGGGCAGGGCUGCCAAUCAUCAGAUCAGACUGCCUGGGGUCCCAUCCAACCUGGCCUCAAAUAACUCCACAUAUGCCUAAUACUGAACAAAAUGAAUAUAAAUAGUUCAAGAUUCAAGGAACUUAGGAUAUAUAUAGGCACCUAUAUAAUGCAGUUCAGUGCACAUUGAAUGUUGCAAGUAUGAUCAGUGUAAGACCUUGUCUUUCCAUUUUCACAUUCAUAUUUUCAGGUUAGCACGAAGAAAGUUACUGUUCUUCAAUACAAAUGAGAUGAUCAAAAUUAUAUUUAUCUAUCUGAAAGAUUUUGAAGAUUUAAUACCUCUGUUAGUCCAUCUGCAGAGCCAACAGAAAUCCCAAGGUGGCCAUCUGGACAGAUUUCACUUCUAACAUUCAGCCACCAUUACUGUCUCUUCUCUUAGAAAUAUGUAAUUUGUGGGAAGCAGACAGAAGCAGUGUUAAGACAGCUGCCUGAAGUCUAGCUUUCUGGUCAGGUAAGUGUGUUGCAGAAACUAGAGAUCCGCAUGGCCGAGGAAACUGUAUGGAGUGGUUAAAAAUAGCUGAUGCACUGAACUAGUCAGUUUUCAUAUUGGGCUCAUAUAGGGCAGAGACUGUUAAUGAUUGUUGAAGCGUGUAUUUAUAGGAAGUUGACCAUGUGGAAACCUGGCCCAAAUCACCUCAGUCCCCAGUAUAUACAUAGAAAUUACCUAGAACCUUGUAAAUAAGGAAUACUCAUAAAUGUUUUUCUUCUUUUAAAAAUGACUUAAUGGUUACAGUUUUCCAUUCAGAAUACCUUUAGCUGUUUAAUGAAGCAUCAUGUACAGUAUGAACUACAUAAUAAUUAUAGGUUUUGGAGCUGUUUGUAAGUGAUAGCUUACAAUAAAAAAUGUCUGACUUAAGAAAACAGUCUUGCUCACAGAAUAGUAAUUUUAGCAUAAAAGUUUAUGAUUUUUUAUAGCUUUAUAACAUUUGAUGAUGCUAUAAAGCCCUCACAGUCUUUACUGUUUAAAAUGAUUUGAUAGCACACAUACGUUGUGUGAAUGCUGCAUUCUUCAUCAAAUUUUAUUUUUGCUUCCCGUUCUGUUAAAAAAUAAAAAUGUAGCAUGCAAAUACAGAGAUGAUUAUUUCCUACUUCAGUGUUUUAAACAUUUGACGUAGAGUGGAUGGUUAAAAAAUGAAAAAAUGUUUGUAGUUCUUAAAUGGAAAAAAAUUAGAAAAAUGUAAGAUAAAUAGAAUGAGCAAUAUUCUGUGAGUUUUUGUUUUUGUGCUUUUGUUGUUGCUGCUUUUUUUUUUUUUUUCCUAGAAGUGAAAUGAAUAUUGAUGAAAGAAAGGAAAAUAAAGAAAUCAAGAAGUACAAAUGAAACACAUCUGUAUGAUUGCUGUUUUCCCAGAGAAGAGCUGAAAUGCAGUAAGUAGCAUGGAAGGACUCUAUCAGUUACGGCUCUUUAAUGUAUACAAUGUAUUAAACGUAUAUAACGAUAAUGAAAUCUUCCUGUUCGCAGUUGGAUUUUACCUCUAAGGUUAGAUGGAAGGCCCAUAGCAGAGAUGAUACAUGUAUUCCUGUGUGGAUUUAUUUGUUAAAAGUAUGUUUAAAAUGUUUUAUAAUAAAAGUAAAAUCCACUGACGAAUAAUAUUAUUUGAUAUCUUUCAAUAUAAUUGCAAAAAUAAAAAGAUUCAAAUAUAUUAGAAAUUACACAUUAAAAUCAAAACCUACAAAAAUCUAAAUUGCUCUUUCUUAGCUAUUGUUUUCAAACUGUUGUUCUAAGUAAGGCCCAUGACAGGCCCAUGGCCACUUUUAGCUGUAAUGUAUGAUCUCGAAAAGCUUUUGAAAAGGUUUUACAGUACAACAUAAAUAUAGAAAUCCACCCUUUCUCAGUAAACUUAAGGUUAAAUAUACACAUAAAUUAAUGAUUAUAUUCAAGCUAACAACAUGUCAUUUGUUUUCAGUUAUGAAAUAUUCAAAGCUUUGUUAUGUUGGUGAACUCAGAGUGUCAAAGACAGACACACAUUGUUUGAAAAGCUUAAUCUGGAAAAAAAGAGAGUAAAGUUUGAAGAAGGAUAUGUGAGGACAUAUUUAACUACUGUAAGACUUCUUGCAUGCAUAGAUGUGCAUUUAUGUGUCACAUGCUCAUCAGAAUCUACCUACACACAUCAUAUUAACGUUGAUAUAUUAAGAAGUCUUCUUUAUUAGCGUCUUAAUUUCUCGAAUAACACUUUGGAAAAAAUACUUUACUCACAGGAUUUUUUUCCUUCUGCACUUUGGAAGAUCCUCAGAUCCUCACAGUUUACCUGAGAUGGAAAGAUUUAUGUUAUCUCAAAGUAAUGCCAGAAUGUACUCAUUCUAAUAAUUUCAGAACUAAUGAUCACAGACAGAUGACUAAAUCAACCUAGCAGCUCUUUUUCUGUGCUGAAGUCUUUCUGUAUUUACAGAUAAUAAAAGACUAGAAGUCUUAAUAACAUCUAGUAUAAUCAGCUUAAGAUUUUGAGUUUUAUAAUGGACACAUGAAACUGAUAAUUGUUUCCAGUAGGCACAUCUAUCUGGAGCUGGAAAGCUGUUUCAAAUUCACUUUUUCUAUAGAACAAGGGCUGCUCCAGAAGUAAUGCCUCCUGUUUUAUUAUGUUGGCCUACAAUGUCAGAAGCAGGUGUUCGUGGCACGGCAGCAGGAGCUGGACAUUCCCACCAAAAUUUCAUUAUAUUUUGUUGCUCUGUGACAGAUGAAAGAAGAGGGACAGUCUGAGAAAAUGGCAUUUGACAUAGAAGUAAAUAUGUGCAAUUGAAUUCCUCCAUGCAUAGAAAAAUUGUACCCAUUGACAUUCAUUGACACUUGCUGCAAGUUCGUAGAGACCAUACAGUGGGUGUGAGCACACUAAGGUGGAGGAUGGUGUGUUACAGCAGUGGCAACAGUGACGUGAAAGAUAAACCACGUCUUAUGAGAAAGGCAUGCAGGCACUUGUUCAUCAGUGUCAAAAAUGUGCAAUUAAUGGUUGCUACUACACUGAAAAUAAAUGUUUUGUGGCUGAGAAUAUUCUCUAUCAAAUAGUGCUAUUGUGCUGUUUGCAGGUGGUGAAUUUUUCAUGGAAAUAAAUAGGAGGCAUUACUUUCAGAGUGACCUAUGUAUGUUCUCCACUUUUUUUGAGAAGACCUAUUGAAGUUGGCAUAAUAAAAUAAUUUAUUCAGACAUUCAGUUUUCCUUAUAGUUCUGUCUUAGGCCCUUCCUUAUUGGACAGGCUACGUUUGACUUUUCAGAGGAGAUUAGGUCAAAGUCUCCAUCAGUUGCAGGGUCAGGAUUCUUUCCAUUUCCAACUCAAAAUCAGUCUUUUUUUUUUUUUUCUUGUAUCAUUGUACGGGAAAAUAAUAAAGAAUGUAUACUUUGUUUAGGUAUGUCUAUUACACAUUUGUGAGGUGGUCCCAUUGCUUUAAUGUAGAUGGAAUCUUUGCAGUAACAUAGAGAAAUGUGUUUACACAGUUAUGUUUAUUCACUCUCAUAUUCUGCCUUUGAAAGAAGGACAAAUGUAUUUGCCUAAACUGUAAAAUGCUUUUUGCUAAUGCCUCUGAAUUCUUUACACUUACUGUUUUCCCUUCUUCCUAUGUCUCUUUAUCCCUUUGGAAUAUGAUCCUUUUCUCUCUGUCAUUUAGAUUCCUAUUCUUGACUACUGCAAGAUUCUUUCCUGCUACAUAGGAACCUAUGUUUUUCAAGUUUUUACUUUUGACCAAAGCUGUGUUCUUUGGCUCAUUUUUUACCCUCUUAUAUAACCUUCACUGAACUGAAAAAAAUGAUACAAGAAUUGUCUUUUAAACUUGAAUGAAGCGAUAUCAAACACUGUGCUGCCUAACAUAGAGAAAUGAAUUGAUUUGGGGAAAUUAAAUAUUGAUAUUAUGCUCUCAGGGCCAGCACAAAACUAGGCAAUUUCACAAAUUUUGCAUGGACCUCUGAGAGUUAGUGUGAAAAUAUAUUAAAGUAAAGGAAGUAGGGCAAGUGGCUAAAAGAAAGGAGUCUGUAGCUGACAUGUCGGCAUUGUAAGUUUUCAGCCCUUCUGAGCAGAGCUCCACUGAAUGUAAAAUGGCAAAGAGGAGAGGGUCUUUUGUGUCUCUCCUCAGAUAGGGGCAUUGACAACCUGAUUCAUUUUCAGUACAUGCUCUUGUACCUGCAUGAAGCAACUGUAGAACUACAGAGGACUUUCACUUGAAUUUGGUCCCUAGCUUAAGCCAAACAAAAAGACUUCUCUUCACAAGCUGCAGAAAUAGUUAAAGGGUAAGAAAUUUCAUGUCGGUCAUCAGUAUCAGAAAGUACUGCUGUGAAUGGUUUUGAUUUAUUUUAGUCUAUCAAGCUGAAUGUUAAUUUUCAUGCUAGAAAGAUGUCUUUUCUUCCUUGAUUUAUUAAAUAAAAAUAGGUAAAAAAAAAAAAAAAAGAUUCUUUUAAAGAUACUCUUAAAUGUAUCUACUAUGAUUUAAAUUAAGCAUUAGCUUUUAUCUCUAAAAUGAAGAGCUCGGUUUACUUCUCUUAGUGACUUCGGUUUUAGAAGAAAAAAUUGUGUCCAUGUUCAGUUAUAUGUUCGAAAAACACUUAGUUACAGUCAGUUACAUAUACAUCUCCAAAUACCAGUAAAAUUUCCUCCACUUGUCUGUGUGUGUGUGUGUCUGUGUGUGCAGAUAAAGAUAGAUCGUCAAGCUCUUACCAUCUAGACACUCUUCUAUGUAUUAGGAAGGGAUACGUUGUGAAGUAGGGCAUAAGCUUAUAAUCUAAGGUCAUAGAUUUGGAACUGCCUUGGAAGUGGUGUGUGAUGCUCAGCAAGACUGCUUUUCUUAACCUUUAUUGUUUGUGAAAUUCAGAAAUGUGCUUCCUGCUCGUACUAGUAAAAAUAACUUGUCUUAUUUUCAAAAUGGAACACGUGUAAAAAACAGCAUGAAAUAUUUUUUUCUACUAAGGAAAGUUUGCCUUGCUUUCUUAAAAAUGAACCCACUAAUCCCUUCUAGAUAUUCAGCAUGAAUGUCAUUUAGCACAGUCUGAGAGCAGAUAAAUAAUCCCAUUCUUCUCUGUUCUCAUUUUCUUAUAUUUCACUGUAUGAAUAAAACCACUUCGUACACUGCUAUGAAAGAGACAAUAUUUAGAAGCCAUAGAGAAGACUAUCAAUUCAUGAAACUGAAUUCUGUAAAGAAAUUCACUCUGAAACAAAAGUAUAUUUUAAAUGUUUUUCAUUUUGAAUAAACUAUACUUCUGUAAAGAUGAAUUUGUUAAAUCAAAAAUUUCUCAAAAUUGUGAUAAAAGAGAAAAAACUUGAAAAAAAACCCAAAAAACUAAACCUCUUCAAUGUCCCCAUUCUCCUCCACAUAAAUCUUCUGUUUAAUAUCAAGUAUCUAAACAUAAACCUAAUUUAAACCCUUUUAAAAUAGUAUUUUCUACUGUGAUUUCUGUAUUAUUAUUAUGUGUUAUAUUUACCUGUAGAUCUUUAACUGAUCUAGAUGAUUUUGAACUUUCUACUGCUGACUAUAUUUAUUCUUUUACAUAUGAAAAUGACUUUACAUAGUACACCAUUUUAUGAAUAUGACUGUAUUUAUUUCUUCUAGUAGGCCGAUAGUCUUUAAGCCUUUUAUUGUUAUUUAUUUUAAAAUGGGUAUUCUGAUGAAUUAUGAGCAUGUGCUGAAACACUAUCUGUAGCUCAAGUUGGAAUACAGCUUUUUGUUCUGUGUACUUUACAGCACUUAAAUCUUUCUCCUUCCCGGACUCUCUGUAUUUUUUUUCAUUUUUAAAAGCCUUCUGUUUAUUGCUUCCACUAAUCUUUAGAUCUCUACUUAACCUCAUUGCCCACUGUUGCCCUUUUCUACAUUUAGAUUUAACCAGCAUGUCAAUUACAGUCUCUCCAGAAAAUUUCUGAAGCAUUUUCCAUUUUUAAUUUUAAAAACCCACCUUUUAAAAUGGUACUUGAACAAUAUCACAGCUUUCUUCAAGUACUGUGUUCAGAGAACUCUGUGUUCUUCCUGGUCCUUAGAAAACGUCAGUAGAAUUGGAGAAAAGAUGGAAUGUAAAGAUAUAUGUAUAUAUAUUUAUAUAAAAAAUAUAUAUGUAUAUAUAUUUAAAUAUCCAAAAAACCUCGUGAAAUUCAUUGAAUGUACUCGCUAUUGAUACAGUCUUGAGAGAAAGCCAAGUCACAAGUGUUAAAGGGUCUAAGUCUUACACACAAAAACUGAAGCACCUGUGAGAAGUCUGAGAGAAAUCAAGAAUGGUGUAACAGGUGUAUCUGAGAAGAUAAAAUAAAAUACAGAUGACUCCUUAAGUUCUAGAGCAGGGCUAAUAAUACCCAUCUUCCAAAGGUCACUCACUGCUGGAGUUACUGUUUUUUAUUGUUCUAAAUUAUCAUAUUCUUGGCAGUUUUUAAUGCUAUCAGCAAAUUCAUUUCUCACUUUAAUUUUAUUGUCUACAUUUAGAUAAGAUUUUCAUUUUUACCAUUUGAGAAGGUAGAAUGCAGAAACCCAUUGUAUUUUGCUGGAUUCUUUAAAGAUGAGUUCAUAAAUAUUGAAAUAACAUUCUAGACUGUCUUUUGUUUGAAGAUUUUCCAUACAUUUUUUUUCAGUUAUAAAAACAAGUUUUUCUGAAUUUGUCUUGACAAUUUUAUAAGAUUGUGUAUCAUCUAAUUGUGGCUCAGCCUUGUCCACCUUCAGUUCUAUAAGAGAGAAAUUGACAUCUUGGAGUUGUAGAGUUUUACUGCCCAUGUUCAAUUAUUUCUGUCACUUGGAUCACAAUGUGUAACUCUAAAUAAUGCCUUUCUUUCUUUAGUUAUCUUCUUUACCUUUCUAGCAGGUAUGACAAAACCACACCCUUUAUAAAUCAUAAAUAAUUUACUUCUUAUAGCAUGAAUUUUUCUUAGUUGCUACAAAUGAAAAAUAUUUUUGGUACAGGCAAUUAAUGUUCUGAUGGUGCCAGAAUAGGUGCUGGAAUUUAUUUGUUAAUGGCACUAAUUUUGUAUGUUAAAAAUAAUAUGGUUCUCAGCUCUCUGAAUGUGAGAACUUCUCAAAAGGUCAAAUCUGUGUGGUUCAACUAAAAAGAGAGGUGGAAAUUAACUUUGGAACAGGAGGACAUAGUUUAGUUCAUUGGGAGCCAAUUAGUUCUCUUCCAGAAUACAGAAAGAGUAUUGUAAGCAAAUGGUACUAUAGCUGCAUUUGAGUAAAGACACAUGGAGCUGCAUUACCCAACUCAAUUUUUAUGUUUUAAACAACCAUUUCCAUUACCCCUGUGAAACAUCACACAUGGAAGUCUCUUGAGGCUCUGUGUUUCAUUGGUGACUUUCUAGCCUACUUCCCUCAGCCUGCCUCAUUUUUUAAUUUGCACAGUACACUUGAGUUCUUUGGUUAGACAGUCAAAGAAAAGAUCUGUCAGAGGGAUUAGUAAGAAGACUUAAGGUUGUCUCAAGCAAGCUUAUGGUAAAAGGAUUUAAACAUACCAAGCAUUAGUGAAAGUGGUUGGCUAAAGAGGUGCAAACUUUCUACCUGUAGCCUGCUUUUCUGCAAGUCCCCAGUCAGUGAGCAGUUAUUCACCAGCCAUCUACAAAAUACACAGAGGUGUUCAUAUUCUUAAUGAUGUAGUCUAAAACAGUGCAAGGAGCAAAAACAAUAGAAGCAGAAAGAAAGAAUAUCUCAUACCGUCUUCCCCUACUACGGUACAUACUAUAUAAUAAAAAUGUGUCAUGGUUUUAUGAUUUCUGUUAUUGGUAUUCCACAUCAUAACAUCAUGUAGUGCACUUGGUGUUAAAGAGUUAAUGCUCCAGUUGCAUGGAUUGUCAGUAUUUUUGGGUACCUGGUUCUCACAAGAGAAGAACUACAUAAACCAGCAGACUUUUAUUGUUACAUUUCCUGUUUCCAUUUUCCAUUUAGAGGGAAAGAUAAAACUCCCUAGUCAUGAGAUUGGUUCCUUCUUUUACUGCUUGCCCCUGCAGUGUAUUCUUCCUAGCCAUCUCACCUUCAGUGCUAGAGUAAAGUCUUCAGUUUUGGACACUUUCUCAUUUAUUUGAUUUAUUAGCUUCAAUUCCAAUUAUAUUAGAUUACAUUGUGUUAUCUCACAUUCCACUGGCAUAUUUAGUGAAUUAGUUUUCUCCCUUAGCUUGUUGCCACUGUUUCGUUUUGUUUUUAGGCCCUCCUCUCUACCUUUUUCCCCUUUUUCUCUUCCCCCUAUCCUGGGGCAUGGGUCAGUGGGUCCCUCCACUGCACUAGUCAUGGAACUGGGCCAAACUGGCCCCAAACCCAUGCCAAAGUGUGAGAUUUGCAGCUUAGGGAGUCCUACUUCUGGGAAGCUUUAGUUCUGAAGUACCUUGAUCCUGCAGGUGCUUUUGCAUCCUGUCACCCACAGUCUUGCUUACUCUGAAUACAUGCUAUUGCAUACUCUAAGGCACUCUGAAGCUAAGCUUAUACAAUAUGUUUAUAAUCACAUAUUCAUUUCUAAAUGCAUUUUGAUUUCUACUCACUUCAUUGAUGUUUUACAAUAUUGAAUAAUUAUGACGAUUGGUUUUCAGUUAAAGAGCAAAAAUCUAGAGACUCAAAAUACUCAGGUGCAUGAUGAUUCUCCCAGAAAACAGCUACUCAUCUGUUUGGCUGGAGACUAUUCACAUUUUUACCAUGAAACACAUACUAUGAUAAAUAAAAUUGUAUCCUUGGAUAAUUUCUGUGUGUCAGCAAGCAGUUCUAGCCAGGGUGCCCAUGUAUGGUUUCUGACAUGGAAUGACAUGUGUUCACAACUGCCAGUCAUUCUAACUGAAAGAAGGGACAGUCUGCACACAGCAGGGUCAUGACAUCUAGCAGCCUGAGUAAACAAACUAGUGUUUCUCUCUCUCCUUCUUCCUCUUUCCAGACUGCUAAGGAGAAGUCAUAAACAUUUUACUUUUUUGGUUAUUUACUAGAACAAGAAGUCUCUGCUUUCCUUUUUUCAUCCAAGAUGGCACUAUGGAUAAUUUGUAAUUUAGAAGAUUUAGAACAUUUCACCUACUAAGUAUGAUAAAUACAAGCAACCAACAGAGGAAAAGUUACAUUUUAUUUCUUAUGGCAGAUUGUUGUAUUAUGCUUUGCUGAAAUAUAUACAAUUAAAUUGUCCAUCAACUAUUUUAUCAGCAACUCAUUAGAAGAAACUGUACAUUUAAAAUAGAGUAAUAAUGAACUUAGAUACAUUUUUUCAGCACAGCUGAGAGACUGCUUUCCAGUGCUGCCAUAUAAGGUAAUCAGGAAACACUGGACCCUGGUUCUGCUUAUUCAAGUGUAACCAAGAUUUGGAGUUUCCAAGUCCACUUUAAAAACCUUUAACUACUUAAAGCAUUGGAAUAAAGCUGACCACAAAGAUGGAAAAGAGAUGGAAGAGUGAGAAGAAGGAAAAAGAAGUUUUGAAGCAGAGACCAGAAAAAGAAAGACUGCGAAUGAUUUUGAAGCUCAUACAAGAUGUAGAAUGCCAAUCUCUUCUCUGUGUUCUAGAGGAGCUUUAAACAGCAAGCAAUAGAGUUGGCCAACUGAAGCACAUUAUUCAGCUGUGUUCUCUUUGGAGAUAACUGGUAAUUCUGAAAGGGAGAUGAGGGAGGAAGAAAGAAAGAAAGCUAUAACUUCUUGGUUUGUAAAUCUGCUGGUGAUAUAGUGAACUUAGAUUAAUUUCACAGCUCAAUCUUGAUAGUUAAAGUUGUGUUUUGUGUUUGAUCAUCCUAGGCCUGAGAACAUCCCUGUUAACCUUGUUGCAGCUCUCAACAAUGUAAAAAAAACUUCCUACCAAAUUAUAUUUUUAAUACACCUUAUGAUUUGGUAUAGAUAUGAAGGUAGAUGAAGAGGACAUAAAGAGAUACGUAGAAAAAGACCCAUAGUCCUUAAAAGGAGUUUUGCUCACUUCUGUAAAGGGACUGCAACAGUCCUUGUAGUAUUUUUUUUUGCAGGUGCUAUAAGAAUUACUCUGAAUGGCAGAAGAUGAACUUUGGCAGAAAAUACAGCGGAAACUUCAGCAGCUUAGGCAUGGUUAUAUACAGGUCUCAAUUGCUUUUAACUGAAGUCUUGUUUUGUUGUCUACAAAGGUUGUCUUGCUUUCAGAAAAGUAUGAGCUAUGUUUCAAUGAGACAGAAUUCUGAAAAAAAAAAAAAAAGUUUGAUGUUAUUUACAUUCACUGUAACUAAUCUGAAUCACUGAUUCUGGUUGGGACUGACAUCCCUGUCUAAGUCCCAAACCUAGUAUGAUUUUGUAUGUAGAGCCAGUUUAAAGUCACAGGCUCAGCUAGGUCUAGCUAGAACUGAUGAAGGAUAGAAGAUACAGAUUAAACAUUUUUCUCUAUUGUGAGACUAUAAAUAAAAAAUUGAAUGUGACCUUAUAACCAAAUGAUUUAUUCAUUGCUAUAUUAUUGAUAUCAAUGUGAAAUGUGUUGCUUUGCUGAGAAAGGGAAGGAUUUUGUGAGGAUACUGAAUGGUUGUUUUUUUUUUAGUGUCCUUAAAGUACAAACUGAUGGGGUCUGCUUCCUCUGUAGAAAUGGUAGUUUUCACUCAAAAGAAUAAAUGCUGUCACUUUAUGCUUCACAACUCUAGAAUGUUUCAGUUGUAGUGAAAACCCAGGAGUUUCUUGGCUUUUUGCUUUUAGUGGAGGACACAUUACUCUGUGAGAGACUUUACUUGGACAAAAUAACAUAGAAAAUGUUAACUUAGAAAAUAGACCAAAUAAUCUGCCACAGCUGUAGUUGUUUUUGUUUUGUUUUGUUUUUUACAAAUCAGCAAUGAACAAUUUGAUCUAAUUCAGAAAUAAUCAAAGGCUGCAUAAAUAUUUGGCUGCUACAAGUUUAAAAUAGUACCACGAUAAAAUUUCACGUACACAUGUCUUCUAAGAACAUAUUUCUUGUAAAUUUCACUGCACUGAAUAAUAACUUGAAUUAUUUUUAUCAGUACAAAAGUAAGUCUCCCUACACUACUCUAUUUUUUAUUAACAAUCACUUUUUAAUCUGUAUAUACUAUAUACAGCUAGUAGCUCUUUCAUUUUUGUACUUUCAAUCUGCUUCACAGGGUAUUAAUUAUGCACAAGUUGGCUACAUCUCUUCUGUCAUACCGAACAGCCACAUCUGCAUUUAAUCAUUCAUUAUAUGCUGUAAUCUACCACCUAACUUCCAGUCACUUUUACUAUCUAAAAGCAAGUAGGAGGUACUUAAGAAUCUAUCCCUGAAUAUCUAAUUGCAUACUUAACUGAUUAGUUUUAUAUGACAGUCUCUUAUAAACAUGCUAAUAAGUUGAAGACUCUUAAUUUGUAUCUACAUGCUACUGAUUUCUGUAUGAUUAUACAUAAUGAACUCAUCAUGAUCACACUUAGUGCUGCUCUUCUGAGAAUCAUGAAAAUAAAUGCAGAGUUUGGAGAGAAGGAUGUAGACAAAGGCAGAAAUGAUCAGUAAUAUGUUGCUUUGUAAGAGAUUUGAUGAGAAACUUCAUUCAGGUUUGCUUUGAGAAAUGGCUUAUUCCAAAUAGUUCAAGAGGAAAUAAAAGGACCAUGAAAACCUGGACAAUGAGGUAAACAAAAGUGAAAAGAAUUCACACAGAUGCUGUUUUACACCUAGCUCAACUAAUAACACCCAUCAUGCUCAGAGAUACAGGAAAAAGUGAAUCCAUGCCAAAUAAACCACCUCAGGUGUCAGUACUGGUGACUUCUAGUUACUUCCAAGCAUCUCAGUUAUUCACAGAACAGAGGCAAUGGGAGAGGUCCAAAGGAACUCUGUAUUGCCAUGUCACUGCUUUUCUGAGUAUUUCAAUACCUCCAUUAAAGUAAUGCCAUUACUAUGACCAAUUCACAAGCUUGAUUGAAAUUUCUUUAACAAUGUACAAUGUUGCAGACAGGAUGAGGUUAUCCAUUCCACCUCUGCUUUUUCUAGGGCAAUAGCUGAGAAAGGGAGUUUUAAAGGUAAACAGAAAUCUGAGGUAAUUCCUAAAGAAAAUGAACACUUACUAACUUUAAAGUAGUUAUUGUUAUACAAAGUGAGUUUUUGGGGUUAGCACAAAAGAAGAACAGCAUUUAAGGUCAAUAAAGGUGCAAUACUUUCCAUUGUUCACUGCAUUUCUACAUAAGUCUUAGAAACAGCACAAUCUGUAGCUCUCUUAUACAUAUAGGUAGCCUCUGGAGCUAUAUCACGGUUGUCCGUGAUUUUUCACUUGUUAUUAAAGGGCAUGAAUUCUUCCAAAGGGCAAGGCUAGUGCAUUUACUCAGACACCUACGCAAAUUGUCCCAGGAUCCUAAUUUGAUGUACCUCAGUGGAAAGUGAUUAGGGUCAGAGGACUUAAGCUGUAUUCUAACACAUAUUAGAUUUAAAUAAUCCUGUCUCAUCUCUUCUGGCUCCUAACCAGUUUAUUUUAACACUAAGUGAGUUUGUUUGUAAAGUCUAAAUGAAUUUUAACAGCUUCUAGUGACAUUUUACUAGAAAACAGAAAAACUGUAGCAAUUCAGGUUCCAAAGUGUAUCAGCGUUCAAUUUUUGAGGGUUUCUCAGUAGACUGAACUUUCCAGAGAUCCUUAUCAUUCAUAUAAAAUAGAUUGGGAUAAUAUCCUCAGAGUUAAUCUAUUUAAAAUGAAUAGUGAUCUUAGAUCCUUUCGGCAUUGGAUUUGUUAAGAAGAAAGUGAUAUUACUGCAGAGUUAGUCCCACUUCCAAGGCCAUGCAAUGGCUUUUCUCAAGCAAUUAAGAAGCUGUACAACUUCUACCUUUAAGAUAACUGUGGAAGAUAUAAUCUUUUAAGAUUAGACUACUCUACUGAUAGAAUUUAUCUUCUUUUCUCUCAUUAAAUAUUUUAAGAUUCUAAUUAACAGACCCUAUUCAAGAAUUUCUGAGAUGAAUGAAGGCAUAUUCAUAUUUUCUGAGAGCACUUUAUUCAGUCUUAUUUUAAAAGCCUAAAUUACAUAUAAGGUAUAUAUGUGUUUUUAAAUACAUUAGUCAGAAGGAAAUGAGUAAUAAUGCUGCACUGUAUUGUGCUGAUCUGUCCAGGCAUAGAAGAGGAUAAGUUGCUAUAUUUAUUGAUGCAAAACUUGUGGAUAACCUUGGUAAACCUUGCAUUUCCUCUGCAAUAGCUACAAAUGGUGGUUAAUGUUAAGCGAGAAAUUUGCAGAAAGCUUAUUAAAAACACAGCCUGUUUCUGCAGACUUUGUUUCGCUUUGACAUUUUAACCACAGUUUACCAGGAUGUGUCAAAACUUCUUGACUAGUCAUAGCAAUCUCCUCAGAAAAUAUGAGGAAAAGGUUUCUGUGCUCUUUCUUUCUUUCCUCCUUCUUUCUCUAUCCAUAAAUAUUUCAUAGAAUCAUACAGUUUUUUGAGUUGGAAGGGACCCUUAAAAGUCAACGAGUCCAACUCCCCUGUAAUUAAUAGGGACAUCCACAGCUAGAUCAGAUUUCUUAGAGUUUGUUCCAGCCUGAUCUUAAAUGUUUCUAGGGACUGGGAGUCCACCACCUCUCUGGGCAACCUGUUCCAAUGCUUCACUGCUGUUAUCAUUAAAAAAAACUUUGUUCUUAUACCCAAUCUAAAUCUCCUCUCUUUUAGUUUGAAACUAUUUCCCCUUGUCCUAUUAGAAAAGACCCUACUAAAGAGUCUGUCUCCUUCCUUCUCAUAGCUCCUUUUAAACACUGAAAGGUCACUAUCACGUUUCCCUGGAGCCUUCUGUUCUCCAAGCUGGACAGUCCCAGCUCUCUCAGCCUGUCCUCUUAAGGGAGUUGUUCCACCCCUUGGAUCUUUUUUAUGGCCCUCCUCUGGAUGCUUUCUGACAGAUCCACACCUCUCCUGUACUGAGGACUUCACAUCUGUCAUUGCUGCAGAGACCAGCUUUAGAGCAGGUAAGACUGCACUGAGUAAGGGACCUAAAGCAAAAAGGCCGACCAAAAAGCUCUUUUUAGGGCUUUUUUGAAGCUAGCAAAAGCACUGUACCGGUGCCGGGGGGCUGGCAGCUUGUGGGUGGGCUGCUGAGCCAGCAGGGGCAGAGCUGUCACUGCCCACUCUUAUCUCGUGAGUUCGACCUUGACCCUUUGCUGUGUGGCUAAAAUCAGCCUUCUGGAUGGCAGAAACAAGCUUCCACCCACUUAACACACCAGGUGAGAAAAGGGCGUUACCUUCCACUGACAAGAGGAAGGGAAGUCAGUGUGUGAGCACAGCCCACACUACCCAUAGAGUACUGCAGCAGCGGGUGUGAGUGGUGGGUCUUGUGGCAGGACACGUGAGUGUUUUUUGUCUUUGCUCAGACCGGGUCUCCUAUGGACAGACCCUGAGACCACCAGUUCAAACAUGGUCUCUACCAGGCAGCAGGCUUGCCCCAUGAAAACUGUGGAGACCCAGGCAGAGGGCCUGCCCAGAAAUGCUGCCGUUCAGGUCUCUGGCUGCAGGGAGUGCCUGAGCCUGCUGCUGCCAAGGGAGGAUGGGAAGGAUCCCACCUGCGUGAGGUGCGAGCAGGUAGACAAGCUGCUCAGCCUGGUGGUGGAGCUCAGGGAGGAGGUGGAGAGAUUAAGAACUAUCAGAGAGUGCGACCUUCUAGAGGCUUGGGGCAGAGUGGCUGGAAGACUGUGUAGAGAUGGACCUGAGGAUAUUGAUUGAUGCUCAACUGAACAUGAGCCAGCAGUGUGCCCAGGUGGCCAAGAAGGCCAAUGGCAUCCUGGCUUGUAUCAGAAAUAGUGUUGCCAGCAGGAACAGGGAAGUAAUUAUCCCCCUGUACUCAGCACUGGUGAGGCUGCACCUUGAGUACUGUGUACAGUUUUGGGCCCCUCACUGUAAGAAAGACAUCGAAGCCCUGGAUCGUGUCCAGAGGAGGGCAACAAAGCUGGUGAGGGGUCUGGAGCACAGGCCUUACGAGGAGUGGCUGAAGGAGCUGGGAUUGUUCAGUCUAGAGAAGAGGAGGCUCGGGAGAGACUGAAUUGAGAACGAUUCUAUGAUUCUGUAUUCCUCUUUUCCCAAAAGACUUAAUUCAAUACUCUUCCUAAACUGGUCAUUUGUUGGAAGCAUCUAACUUUACCACUAUAUAAAAUACAUAAACCAUUUUUCAUUACAUAAACUAUUAUCUUAACAGAUCAGGAUAAGAAAUGAAAAGUUGUUUUCUUGUGACACCAGCAAGGACAUCUAUGUAGGGGAAAAAAGGGAAUGUAUUAAGAAAGUAAACAACUGAUCACAGACAUCUCGGAGAAUGUGUGGAUCUUUUACACUGAGUUAUAAUAUCAAACUGCACUAGGGCAACAAGGAAUUCAAAAGGUUAUGCUUCUUUGCAUCUGUAAAUACAUGGAUGUUUGGAAAAUAUGUUUAAUGUUUUUAAAAAAUGAUUCAGCAAAGAAAAAGAGCAGUGCAGUGAGAUAAAAAGAUGAUUUAUCCUGUGGCCAGUGUGCUUCAAAUUGACCAGAGAAAGUAAUCUAAUCAGACUUUAUUAAACUGAUUCUGCAGUACAUCCCCAGUGCCUGGAAGCAUUGUCUGAGCUGGUCUGCAGUCUAAUCCUACUUUAGGAGGUUUGCCAACUAUUUAGCCUUUUCUAAGUAGAAAUAGAGCCACAAAAAUUUAAUUACUGCUAUUUUAAUAAGGAAAAUGUAAAACGUUGAUGAUGUCUGACAUAUGAAAGAAGCUGCAUUAGUGACAACAGUAUUUAAAAAACUCUGAUCAAGCACAACCUUUUUAUUUUGAGCAAGAUAUAGCAGAUAAUGUAGGCUCAAAAACCAGCCUAAAGAGCUGCUGCCAGGUUAUAUAAUCUCUGAGAACUCAUCCAAGGCAGUCCUGAAGCCAAACACAGAGAGGAGAAUUGCUAAGGGGUUGUGUUUGCUUCAACAGUUUCCCCCACUGCAUGACAAUCUCUGCCCCAUAAGCUGGCAGUGUUGAUGGUGGCUGUUUCAGAUUUCUGUAGAAAAAUAAGCUCAAUUCAUGUAAAAUAAUGUUUCCCACAGAUGACCUAAAAAGCAUGCCCAGAAAAUAAGUGCAGACUGUUGUCAGUCCUUGCUGGCAUUUGCAGAUGUCUAAGUUUCCUUCCAUCAUCCUUUGUAUGCUAGGUUAAAUCCUAGAAAGUUGCCAUGUCUCCUGGUAAAAAGAUUGCAUGGAGAAAUUCCUCUUCAAUCACACUACAAUGAACAAAGUUCCCAUGUUACAUUAUGGCAAUAAGUCACUACUUUUCAUGCACAUCUGUCAAUUUCAGGAGGUAUUGCAUUCCCUUGGGUGCAAUCCCCUUCAGUGUUUCACUGAAGAUAGGGUUACUGCUCUGUGUGGUUUCCUUUCACACAAGAGUAAUAUAGCACUUUUUCACUGAAAAAGGUCAGAAAAUUGCAACUUGUUGAUUACACUGUUCAAGAAGUUGCUCUCUCUUUUGCAUUUUGCCUGCAGCACUGCUACUGCACAAUAUUCCACUUUGAGUCUUGGGUCUACUUGUGAUUCUGUUUGUUUCUCCUGGACAAGCAGCACUACUUGUGUAAUCCUCUGAUGCAUAUUGAUGCCUUAAGUUGCUAACUCUGGCUUCUCUCCUUCUGCAUACUUCUAUUUCUUCAUGAACUUGUCCUUCAAGGCACAUGUCAGUAUUUGUUGUGGAAUGGACAAUGGCUGCCAGUACUCAAGUACUGUCUUUCCUUUUUGCCUCAACCAGGGUGGGCUUGCAUUUAUAGCCCAGUAGGCCAACUGUAUCCUAGGCUACAUCAAGAGAGGGGUGGCCAGCAAGGCAUGGGAGGUGAUUGUUGUCCUCUACUCUGCCCUCAUGAGGCCCCAUCUGGAGUACAGAAUCCAGAUCUGGGGCCCCCAGCACAAGUGGAGCAAUUGGAGGGGGUCCGGAGGAAGUCCAUGAAGAUGAUUAGAAGGCUGGAGCAUCUCUCCAAUGAAGAAGGAGGUGUUCAAGGCCAGGUUGGAUGGAUCCUGAGCAAUCUAAUCCAGUGCUUGAUUUAGAGGUUGGCAACAUUGCCCCAUGGCAAGAAGAUUGGAACUAGACGAUCCUUAAGGUCCCUUCUAACUCAAGCCAUUCUGUGAUUCUGUGUUUCAAUGAUUCUAUGAUAGAUGUAUGUGGAAACAGGGAAGUCUUGAGUUUUAAGGGUACAAAUGAUUUAGAUUUCCAUGGAAGGAAUUUUGCCUUCCAGAGUUCAUUCUGGGAUUUAAUUCUGUUUUAAAAUCAUUUGACCAAUGCUAGCGUGCUUCCAUAAUACUCACUGAUGGGUAUUGUUUCACUUAUAUGCAUUUUACUUCAGGGAACAUUGUGAAAAUAUUUCACUUCUUAUGUCUGCAAAAAUAUGGAUUAGAAUUGCUCAAUCCAAAAAAAAGAACAAGCAAAUAAUGUCAAGUUCACAAAAUUAAAGGCAAUUAUAGACUAUUUUAUAUACAUUUAAAAAAUAAAGCAAUAAAUGGCCAGUUUUGAACAUUCUCAGUGAUCACUAGAGAUUAGCUGUUAUGUUUUAUAUUCUCUGUUAUCUUUCAAGCAGAAAACCAAAUUUCUAGCCUGUUUCUUUAAAAUUCCUAGGUUUUGUAUGUGUGGUGCUCAUUCAAUUAUUUUAUAUAUUUAUUUUGCUUGUUUGAUGGCUUUGCAUUUGGAAGGCUGCCUGAGGAGAGAUGCCUGAAGGAAAAGAGGAAAUCCAGACAACUAUAAAAAUAUCCUACAUGUUUUCACAGCAAAAAAUGCAUGGGCACAAUGGCAGAUCUCUCCCAUGUUAACGCUGCAGCUGCAUAUAACAGAGGAGACUGCAUCACUAUCACCCUGGUGUGACAUUUUUGUGAGAUGCAGUUAGUACAAUGCUGUGACAUUUACAGUGUUGUGCACUGCAUUUAGUGGCAGAUCUGCUAACAACAGCAGAUCUAUUCCUGGCCACAUAGAGUGGAAUGCUGCCUACUCACUCUCUCCUCUCUGCAUUGGUUUCCUGCCCUAAUGUACGUUACAUUUAGAACUUUGAUGUUAACUGAAGGCCAGCCAAAAAAGGACUUGGAAUCUGAAUGCUUUCAUAUUUCUGGAUAUGGGGUGGUUUUGAAUUUCCAGAUUAGUAGUAACUCAUCUGAUGUUAGUGUUGAGUUGUUUCCAGAACCAUAUGGGACCUAAUUUCUAAUGCAGCCAAGAACUUAAAGCCAAUCUGAAGAAACGUGGGACAAGCUGACAAAAAAAAAAGUAUCACAGGCAGAAUAACAGUGAAAGAUUUACAUCAGUUUCCCCCUCAUAAACUUUAGUCAUUUGCCUUGAAGUUACUCAGAAGUUACACCGAUGUCUAUUAUUUUCUUAUUCAGUGGUACAAAUGUUCAUACUCAUCUCAUCUGUGUAAAUAUACAUCCGUGUAAAUAUGAAAGUGAUUAGAUCAAAGAAAACUCUCUUUUUCAUUUUCCUGAAGUAACUAAUUUUAUCAGCUAAGCAUUAAGUGUACUUUUUAAAAUGAUCGUUCAUGCUUUCGCUGAUAAACAGGAGAUAACUAACUGCAUGUCCCAGGCAACUACUUUAUUGAAGUGAGAUGAAUGAUCUUCUGAAGGCUCCCUUCUUCAUGAGCUGCAGUGAUCCUAGACAGUUAUUCUAGACAUUUGGUGUUUAGACAUCUCAGUGUUUUCACACAACUCUGUGUUCCUACCCUUUGUGUAACUUUUAUAUGCAAAAACCAUUGAGCAAUGUAAAAUAUGACCCCCAUUUUAGAACAAUCCCAAGAGAAUUUUUUUUUUAAAUAAAUUUCAUCUACCUGGAAAUGUUAGGACAAAAGUAAGAUUUUCAUGGUUUUCCAUUACUCCCUGUAAAAGCAGAGAAAAAAAGUCUGUUAGAUCUACGAAUAAAAGGAAAUUGGCUGAAAAGAGCUAAUUCAUAAUGAAACUAACUUGUCAGACUAUUUUCAUAGCACUAUCUGUACAAAGAUUAAAAAAAAAAAACACCUCUCAUAAAAUAUUAAUGCUUUAACCUUUAAGUUAUUAGCCCUUAUAAAUUUAAACUACUGCUUACAUUGUAGAGAUGGAAAAGUUUAAGCUAACAGGAAGAGAUGAAAACAGGGCUUUAUCUUCUCUCUCCUAUGGCUGGGUUUUUAAUAUGUUAUCAUUCUUCUCUCUCUCUAAAUCAGUAAAUUAAGUGAUGUUAAUCAUCUCAAAAGCAGAUACACUUCUAGUACAUGUGUAACACACACUAAAGACACAUUUGAGCCUCCCUCACAAGAGAAAGGAUUGAUCAAAUAUAGCUCUUCAGUGCGAGGAGGCACUGGGACAUCAUUUUUUCCCAGUACCUUUCCCAAAACAGUAGCAUAAAAAACAUCUCUAAAAUGCCUGUAGUAGAAAUCAGUAUAGCCAGUAGGAUCUCAACACAACAGAUGAAACUGAAGUGCAUAAAUAGUGAAUUGCACUGCAGCCAGCUUUUUAGUUUGUGGGAGCUUCAAUUACCACAUUCUCCCCUUUACAAGGCAUGAGGAUGCAACACAUUUGUGGCAGGGUAAUGUGAGCACUCCCUGCAUCCACAUCACAGGCUGAACCCAUCACCACUCACAAAGAGCACAUGCAGCUGGGGUAAAUUCAGCCUGGACAUUUCAGUCGUCUUUGGCACCGAGGAAUGGGAAUUUUUUAAUGUAUGUUAUUCUUCUGAGGAAUGUAAAAUAUUUUCACUUGGGACUUUUAAAUCCUCAAAUGUACACUCUGUGAACUGUUGACAUGAUGUUUUCAGGUCAAUAUUUCAACCAGAUUCCAAGAAUCCAAGAAUCAGCAGCUGCUAUUGUAAUUUUCCUAUGGGCUUCUAUUAAGUUGUUUCAAAAUUUGUGUUAAAAAUCAUGCUGGGAUAGAUCUGGAAAGGUGAAACAAGCAAGCAAAAAACUUUUGAAAAUUAUAUUUGCUCUGCAAAAAUGAUUACCCAUUUGCACAUUAAUAUGCACUAUUUUGUAUGUAUGUGUAAGAGAUUAUUCUUUUAUAUCAUUGACUCAAAGUUUGCUGAGGAACAAGUCCAGGCAAGUCCUGGGCAAAGGCAGAGAAAUCUUUUGUCUUGAGGACACUGAUGGACAGGUCCUGGCUAAGGAUUGUGAAAUCCUCUAAGGAGCACAGAUGGACAAGGCCAGGGGCAUCGAGAGAGAGAUAAGCUGCUGCUAAUGGCCGGGAAACGGUCUUUUUGUGUGGACUUAUCUCAAGGAAAAUGGCCAUCUCAGGAGGUAUGCACAGGACUCUUGCUCAAGCACCCAGGAAUGUCACGUAGGCAGCAGAAAAUGGAGGAUAAAAGAGGGUCCAACAACCACGGCUAGGUGGAGGCUGAUCUCUCACCACGACACGAGCUUUCUGCCUUCAGAUCCUUCUCUACGGACCGUUUGCUGACGGACUUCCCUGGGCCUGCUACCUGAGACCUGCUGCUUCCUCCCUGACCUGCACUCUCUCGUUGCCCAAGACCGGCCUCGCUGCUCCUGCCCUUCGGCGUCGGAACCUCGUGCUACGGGACUGCUGCCGGAUCCUGGUGUAUUAUUAACUAGCAUCAAAGAAAACAUGG
rnacentral:lncRNA from 1 species